ensembl:lncRNA
AAGUUAUAUAAAUAUGUGCACAAACAGAAAUGUGUCUCUGAAGGUAUUAGUUCUGCAUAAUUUCAGAUGAGUAGCUACUAGGCCUCAAAGGAAACAGCGCAUCUUGAAAUGCUCUGAAGGCUUACACUGGCCAAAAGAAGGCAGGACUUUAGCGAAAUUAGAAGUAACUUUGUAGCCAACGAUGUGCUGUAUGUCCUGGUUCCCUUUAAUAGCAUUAGGCGUUCAGACCAUAAAGACUAAUCUGGAGAGUAGAAGUUCCUGCUCUCUGCUUUGAUCUCCUUCCUCUUGGCUGUUUAAAGCUGACAGUUUGGCUGAAUGGCAUUCACCGCUUUCAUUUGUAAGACACGAGUUUCCUAGUGUUCCAGAGCUAGCAGCUACACCUGUACCGCAGGAAUUUACAUCGCAUUGCUCCAGGAUGGCAUUGAUUUGGGACGGGCGAAAUACAAACACAAACUAAUUAAAACCUGCAUAAUGCGGCCCUACAGGAACAAGACAGAAAAACAAAUAAAUACAACUGCAGCUGGCAGGGCAAUUGUGCCUCUGCCCUCGAGCAACAGUCUGGUGACAUCAAAUUACAAACCUUAAAAAUCUCCCGUAAUUGCAGUUGAUCAUUUCGGAGACAAAAUGGAAAUUGUGCUGUUAAUUAAGUUCGGAUCCGUAAAAUAUUCAUGAUAGGUGGGCAGACGGACGGACAGGCAGAUAGCGAGAGGUGGAUGAUUCAUCCUAUAGGUUUGUCGGCUUGUUUAUACAGGCCCGUGUGCAGAGCUCAAACAAUUCAUAUGCAAAAGCGCUAAGGAAGAGCUCCGCGUUCCCCUUGCUAUCAGAAAUAAAUACGUGUUGCAACUGAUAAAGGACUAAUCAGAACACACUGCCGGGAUACUGGGAAAAAAAGAACAGUUUUUCUUAGUUUGCUAAAAUAUAUAGAUAGAGAGAGAAAUGACCGUAAUAUUUGUAAUGCCCUCUUUGUCUGAAUAACACCGUCUUUGUAAACGCUUUAUCAGCUGUUACCCCGAGUGCAGUCAAACGUUUCGGACUUCGAUCCCUCCCUGCACUACCCAUACCUACGUGCUCGCUUUUAGGGAAUCCACCAGCAGUGUCCCUCGGAUUGGGCGUGAAGGGGAGGGAGGGGGAAUGCGGCGCUCCGGAGACACAUCGCCUCUCCGCCUAUAAUUGUUUGACACAUGCCCUGUU